AUACGUAGGGUGCGAGCGUUGUCCGGAAUUACUGGGCGUAAAGAGCUCGUAGGUGGUUUGUCGCGUCGUCUGUGAAAUUCCGGGGCUUAACUCCGGGCGUGCAGGCGAUACGGGCAUAACUUGAGUACUGUAGGGGAGACUGGAAUUCCUGGUGUAGCGGUGAAAUGCGCAGAUAUCAGGAGGAACACCGGUGGCGAAGGCGGGUCUCUGGGCAGUAACUGACGCUGAGGAGCGAAAGCAUGGGUAGCGAACAGGAUUAGAUACCCUGGUAGUCCAUGCCGUAAACGGUGGGCGCUAGGUGUAGGGGUCUUCCACGACUUCUGUGCCGUAGCUAACGCAUCAAGCGCCCCGCCUGGGGAGUACGGCCGCAAGGCUAAAACUCAAAUGAAUUGACGGGG
rnacentral:rRNA from 1 species